CCAGGGUCAGUGCUAUGUCAUUGGUGGCUCUGCUCAGUGUCAGGGAUUGCCACCUGGUUAAUUCAGCCAGUAGUGGUGAUGUUAACUAAGGUAGGUGUACACUUGGUAUGUACUGAGUGCAUUACAUAAAUUAACUCAUUCAAUUAUAACAACAAAUGUUGUACAGUGGGUACCAUUAUCUCCAUUUCACGGAUGGGGAAAGUGAAGUUACAUACUCUGUGGUGCUAGGGAAGUAAGUGGUGGAUCUGAACCCAGACAACCUCACCUCAAGGUUGGACAUAUGACGAGAUUGAAUAUGAGCAUUGCACCUAAGUGACUAUUUCCCGAAGCUUUCAAGUGGGACUACUAGCAAAUGACUGACAUACCCAGUGAGGCACAACUUUGGGGGAAAAAAGGUCAGUUCUUAUAGACUUGUGGGUUACAGAAGUAGCAGUAGUUUCACAGAAAUUUGAGUGGGUGAUUUUGAGAAAUCAAAUCAAACUAAGACUCUGCAAAAUGCCACGAGUCACUCAGUGGAGUCAUUGCUUAUGUUAGUAGGUAUUGGUUAUUCAUUGCCAUUUUAGGCUGUACACAUAAAUGUGUGUUGCAUUCACCCUGGGAACUCCCGUCUUUGAGAGCAAAGGAUCACUCUCUACAUCAAUAAAAUAAGUAUGAAAAAGUGAAGCAGAACUAGAGUGGCUUUGGGACUUAAUCUGGAAAUCUGAUGGGUAUGAUCGUUAAUUUCAUGUGUCAACUUGAAUAGACUACGUGGUGCCCAGAUAUUUGGUCAAAUGUUAUUUUGGAUGUGUCUGUGAGGGUGUUUCUGGAUGAGGAUAAGAUUUGAAUUGGUAAAAUGAGUAAAGCAGAUUGCCCACCCUAAUGUGGGUAGCCUUCAUCCAACCAGUUGAAGACCUGAAUAGAAUAAAAAAGCUAACCCUCCCUUAGUAGGAGGGAGUUUCUUCUGCCUGACUGCUUUGAGCUGGGACAUCAGUCUUUUCUGGCCUUCCACCUGAACUAAAAUAUCAUCUUUUCUUAGGUCUUGAGCCUUUCAGCUUUCAGAAUGGAACUACACGAACUACACCGUCAGUUCUUCUGGGUCUCCAGCUUGCCAGCUGCAGAUCUUGGGACUUCUCGGCUUCUGUAACAACUGUUUUGCUUUUCAUUUGUAUGAGAGGAAGAAGACACAUGAUAUGAGUUUGGCUCAUGUGUCUGAAUAUGGCUCCACAGGGAAGAUUUGAUACAGAUGAAGCUAUUGCUUUUUAGAGACCUUUUAUGAUGAGCAGCUGCCUUAACAGCCUUCAUCUUGUGACAUCACAUGAGCUAUAUAUCUGCAAUAGGAAGAGAGAAAGAUAUGGCUGAGAGUUUUUGACUAAAACUUAACAUUGC